rnacentral:rRNA from 1 species
UACGUAGGCAGCGAGCGUUGUUCGGAGUUACUGGGCGUAAAGGGUGUGUAGGCGGUUGUUUAAGUUUGGUGUGAAAUCUCCCGGCUCAACUGGGAGGGUGCGCCGAAUACUGAAUGACUUGGAGUGCGGGAGAGGAAAGUGGAAUUCCUGGUGUAGCGGUGAAAUGCGUAGAUAUCAGGAGGAACACCGAUUGCGAAGGCGGUACUCUGGGCCGGAACUGACGCUGAGGAGCGAAAGCGUGGGUAGCGAACAGG